rnacentral:pre_miRNA from 1 species
AGUGGAAUUGCUGGGUCAUGUGAUAACUCUGUUUUUAACCUUUUGGGGAACUGCCAAACUGUUUUCCAAAGUGGCUGCAUCAUGUUACAUUCCCAUCAGCAGU